CCUACUGGUGAUGUGGACCUGACCCUCCGCCAUGUAGCAGACAACCCCCCUCAGGUCCUGCGAUGUAUCUUCCCAAGUGGCGUGGAUGUGAAGAGACACGACAUUUCAACUGAUGUUCCAUGGCCGACCUACUGGUGAUGUGGACCUGACCCUCCGCCAUGUAGCAGACAACCCCCCCUCAGGUCUUCCGGUGUAUCCUUCCUAAGUGGCGUGGAUGUGAAGAGACACAGUUCCCCUGAUGUUCCCUGGGCAAUCUACUUACGUACAAUUCAACUGCAUUACAAAUUUUAAUAAAAACCACAGGAAACUUCUAUUUUUUAAAGUUUA